rnacentral:lncRNA from 1 species
GCAUGAACUAACAUGUUGUCCACCCAAUCAAAGGAUCAGAGAAUGAAUCUAGUACUGAAAGCAUAAGCUACAGCUAGCUAGCACUGCAGUGCAUAAAAUGUGCUGAGUAGUUGACUCAAAGAGAGAGAAAGACAAUAGUUGAACAGUUUAGAACAAAUACAUUUCUUCAAAAAUGAAGGAGAAGAAAGAGAGCUGGAGAGUGAGAGCUAGCUAUAUUUUGUAUUUUUUAAAGUUUCACUUUCACUUACUUAACUAGCAAAUGCAGCUAGCUAGUUUAGCCUACUCAUACACCCGGCUCAAAAAGAGAGGGAUGCUAUGUUACCUAGCUGGUAAUGGCUAUCCAACACUGGAACUCUUCCAAGUCAAGGCCAACAAGAUGUUCAACCCGAUGACUGUAUAAAUAAAUGGACAAAGCCAUCGAUCACGUGACACCAUUCGUUCCUAUGUGAAGACUCAACAGCGCAUUGAAACCAAAUGAGUGGCGUUAGCACCAUGUUAGCCAGACGAAAGCCAAACAUUAGCCGGAUCUCUGAGGCGAAGAUCCUUCUUCGAAGACUCGUUGUUGAGACCUCGUCCUCACCCCUAUCGUCGAAAAAGAGAAGAGAACUGUUACAUAAAGACGGGAGGAGCUAGUUCCACUGUAUGGGUGUGAGAACAGAGAAUGGGGAGGAGUUACACUGUUCAGGCAGAGGACCUGAGCCCUAGGACCAUGCCUCAGGACUACCUGACAUGAUGACUCCUUGCUGUCCCCAGUCCACCUGGCCGUGCUGCUGCUCCAUUUUCAACUGUUCUGCCUGCGGCUAUGGAACCCUGACCUGUUCACCGGACGUGCUACCUGUCCCAGACCUGCUGUUUUCAACUCUCUAGAGACAGCAGGAGCGGUAGAGAUACUCUCAAUGAUCGGCUAUGAAAAGCCAACUGACAUUUACUCUUGAGGUGUUGACUUGUUACACCCUCGACAACUGUGAAUAUUAUUAUUUGACCAUGCUGGUCAUUUAUGAACAUUUGAACAUCUUGGCCAUGUGCUGUUAUAAUCUCCACCCAGCACAGCCAGAAGAGGACUGGCCACCCCUCAUAGCCUCGUUCCUCUCUAGGUUUCUUCCUAGGUUUUGGCCUUUCUAGGGAGUUUUUCCUAGCCACCGUGCUUCUACACCUCCAUUGCUUGCUGUUUGGGGUUUUAGGCUGGGUUUCUGUACAGUACUUUGAGAUAUCAGCUGAUGUAAGAAGGGCUAUAUAAAUACAUUGAUUUGAUAACAAUCUAAUAUAUUGAAGAGAAAUUAGAAAAAUUGCAAUAAAACGGUGGUCCUUCUCCCUAAAUUUCAGCACUGCAUUUGAAAGAGCAGCCCCUUCUCUGCCUUACUCAAUCACCCACACAACUGACAAACACAACUGCAUCUCUCUCUUUCUCCAUAUCCCUCCUACCCUCCCUCACAUCACCUCCUCAUUGCGCUCUGCUUCUAUAAUUCAAAUUCUGUCAGCCUUGUUCCAGACUGCUGGCGCCAGCCUCUCUCUCCAAGACAAAAAAAAGAAGCGAG